ACUGAGGCUUGGGGACCCUUUACGACUCUUGGAGCUCUUGAGUCAAGGUCUAGGGGAUUAUGGGACACCACCUGGGGCUGACAGUGGGCCAGCAAGUCCUGCCAGCGGAUCAUCUUGGGAGACUCACCCAUUGGUUGGGAGUAAUGUCCUGGCUACUGACCACGACCCCAGCCAGUGUCAGGAGGCUGUGACACAGAUAGCAGACCUGGAGAGGGAGAGAGAGAAAGCACAACAAGGAUGCUUCCCAACUCCUUCUGAGGCUGUGGGCUCCUGUCUUAGCCAGCAGCAGCAGCUUCCAGGAACACAUCUUCAGGGAGGGCCUCACUUCCUCAGAGCUGUGACUGUCCCAGUAGCCUGUACCCGGGACCCACAUUUCUUCUAAGUAUUGAUUGUCCUCAGAUGGCUUCCGAAAAAGAGAGAAUCCUUGCUACCCGGAAAGCCACGCCACCCUAAGCCUUAUCCUGUGACUCCAGAAGCAGAAGCCUGAAGGGCCUGUGCACCCUCACCUCUGCACAGCCUGCUUGCUAAGUCACCUACACCUGUGGUCAGUGACUGAGGUGAUCCUAUCCCUUGUGCCACCUCUCGGUCCCCGUCUUGUAAAUGUGCCCCAUAGUGGGUAAGCGCCUGCCCAAACCACAAACCUAGGCACAGCCCCGUCUGACAAUCAGCCCUGCCCCAGACACAAAGCUGGCAAGAGAAGGGGUGCCCAGUAGACGCGGUAUGCAUCGAAUAUCUGCAUGCCUUCGCCAUCCAGCCCACCUUCACUGUCGCCACUGGACACUUCAGAGAUAAAAACCAGGACAAAGGCCAUUUGGGAGGAACUGUACCUGGAACUGUUCCCUAGCUUAGAAGCUAAAGCAAGAAGAUCACAAGUUCAAGGCCAGCCAGGGCUACUGCAUAGAAAGAAAGCAUCUC
rnacentral:lncRNA from 1 species